rnacentral:lncRNA from 1 species
CUUACAGUUGCCAGGUAGCUUGGAGCACAGUGUUGUGUACUAAAAUUAUGUUUAUUUCCAUAUUCUUGGAUCUAGUUUUAGUUUGUCUGCCUGGCAUCAAAGCUACGAGAUGAAUGACCCCAUGUUCCUACUCCUUGUUUUGUAUUUAAGGAUGAUAUGGCUGAAGCAGGUUGAAAUUACAGCUCCCAUCUAUCACAUGAAGAGCAGCAAUCACCAGCAUUUAAUAAUCACAGCCUUCAGAAUGCAACAUGAGCUACAAAAGCAUACAAAUAGGCUGGGAGCAUGCAGAGUUACGGAGGAAGGAACAGCGUGUUCCUCAAAAUUUGCAAGCACCCUUUUGGAGGACUGCUGUGAAGGAGAACUGCCAUGGAGGUUGGCACCAGUCCUUGUGCCAAGGCUUGCUGUGGAUUAUUCUGGACCAAUGGCUUUCCCAGCAGUAGAUGCUAUUGAGAUUUCUCACACAGCUUUCAUGCUCCAUCCUUUGGAAAAUCCUUGGAACGUGUUCUGGCUAUCAGGGAGUGAAAUUUUUGGGUGGGCUGCUUGCCUGGUGUAUAACAAUCUGGGCAGAAUGGAUACCUUUGGAUUUCUACAGUUCAGCUAGCAAUUGAUUUUCUCUGGAGACAGAAUUAGCGUUGCCAAGACAGUUUCUUGGCCCAGUUACCAUUUACACUGUGGGCUCGCCCUGGAAAACCAUGCAGGCAUAUCUGGGGAUGUCUUCAGUCAGCAUAGGGUGGGUUGACUGUAUUGUCUGACCAGGUUUUGUGUGUGUCUUUCAUUUGUUUAUGCCUGCAAAUAGACCAUAUUGUCAAUUCCAGAUUAAAACGCUAUUGAAAAACUAUGAUUGCUUGUUUUCCAGGAAAACUAUGAAAAUUGUGAAUAACCCCUGUUGCAUUUUCUUUUUCUGAAGGAUAUUUAUUAAUUUUUUGUCCAGAUUGAACAAGGAAAACCUACUCUUUUUAAUUUCCUAUUCCACAUCUACUAAGGUAAUGGCUACCAAAGUAGAACAAGAGUGGCAUGACACAGGAAUGUUUGGCAUUGCAAAAUCCCAAGAGGGUCGAAAUCUCAGCAACCUUUUCCCAUAAGAUAAAUAGCUUAAAUUUAAAAUGAAAUGAAGCAUAUUGGAACAAAGAAUACAAAGAAGGGG